UACGUAGGGUGCAAGCGUUAAUCGGAAUUACUGGGCGUAAAGCGUGCGCAGGCGGUGAUGUAAGACAGAUGUGAAAUCCCCGGGCUCAACCUGGGAACUGCAUUUGUGACUGCAUCGCUGGAGUGCGGCAGAGGGGGGGAUGGAAUUCCGCGUGUAGCAGUGAAAUGCGUAGAUAUGCGGAGGAACACCGAUGGCGAAGGCAAUCCCCUGGGCCUGCACUGACGCUCAUGCACGAAAGCGUGGGGAGCAAACAGG
rnacentral:rRNA from 1 species